rnacentral:misc_RNA from 1 species
CCGAACAAACAAAAGGCUCGCCGCUUCGUAUCCUUGUGAGCGAGCGGUGAAUCCUUCUGGCCGACUCAACUGAAAUUAUGGUUCGAGUCUGGCGGUCCAAGUCUUCCUUGCUCCGUUCGCGGAGUGAGGGAGCACCGCAAACAAAAAUUUUGUAAACAAGAAAAAUUUUGAAAUGAAGCAAUAAACAAAGACAAAAAGACGAAAUAAAAACCUCGAGUGGUGGAUCACUCGGCUCGUGGGUCGAUGAAGAACGCAGCUAACUGCGUGCAGACGUGUGAACUGCAGGACACAUGAACACCGACAUUUGAACGCACAUGGCGGCCUGAAAUAAAUUUCAGGCCAUGUCUGGCUGAGGGUCGGAAACUAAACUAAAGAAAGAUUGCUCAAGUGACGGGUCUUUGAGGACCUGGUUGGGGAACUUGUAGCGCAUCAACAGUUUUCUCGGUUGUGUGCCAUUAGCAUGAGAUUUUUUCAAGCUACUGGCACACAACCGAGGAAAACUGUUGAUGCGCUACAAGUUCCCCAACCAGGUCCUCAAAGACCCGUCACUUGAGCAAUCUUUCUUUUAGUUUAGUUUCCGACCCUCAGCCAGACAUGGCCUGAAAUUUAUUUCAGGCCGCCAUGUGCGUUCAAAAUGUCUGGUGUUCAUGUGUCCUGCAGUUCACACGUCUGCACGCAGUUAGCUGAGUUCUUCAUCGACCCACGAGCCGAGUGAUCCACCACUCGAGGUUUUUAUUUCGUCUUUUUGUCUUUGUUAUUGCUUCAUUUCAAAAUUUUUCUUGUUUACAAAAUUUUUGUUUGCGGUGCUCCCUCACUCGCGAACGGAGCAAGGAAGACUUGGACGCCAGACUCGAACCAUAAUUUUCAAGUUGAGUCGGCCAGAAGGAUUCACCGCUCGCUCACAAGGAUACGAGCGGCGAGCCUUUUUGUUGUUUCGGUAAUGCUCCUUACGCAGGUUUCACCUACGGAAGGAUCAUUAAUGAUUGGCCUCAGGGCCUUAUCGAUUAUUAAUCCCAACACCUCUGUGAACCGUUUUCGGCCCUCGGGCUGAUCUUUUUACAAUACAAACAUUGUGUAAUGAGCGUCUUGUUAUCUUAACAAAAC